rnacentral:rRNA from 1 species
UAUGGAGGAUGCGAGCGUUAUCCGGAUUUAUUGGGUUUAAAGGGUGCGUAGGCGGACUGUCAAGUCAGCGGUAAAAUUGAGAGGCUCAACCUCUUCCCGCCGUUGAAACUGGUGGUCUUGAGUGGAUGAGAAGUACGCGGAAUGCGUGGUGUAGCGGUGAAAUGCAUAGAUAUCACGCAGAACUCCGAUUGCGAAGGCAGCGUACCGGCAUCCAACUGACGCUGAGGCACGAAAGCGUGGGGAGCAAACAGG